rnacentral:rRNA from 1 species
UGCCGGUGACAAACCGGAGGAAGGUGGGGAUGACGUCAAGUCCUCAUGGCCCUUAUGGGUAGGGCUUCACACGUCAUACAAUGGUACAUACAGAGGGCCGCCAACCCGCGAGGGGGAGCUAAUCCCAGAAAGUGUAUCGUAGUCCGGAUUGUAGUCUGCAACUCGACUGCAUGAAGUUGGAAUCGCUAGUAAUCGCGGAUCAGCAUGUCGCGGUGAAUACGUUCCCGGGUCUUGUACACACCGCCCGUCACACCAUGGGAGCGGGUUUUACCAGAAGUAGGUAGCUUAACCGCAAGGAGGGCGCUUACCACGGUAGGAUUCGUGACUGGGGUGAAGUCGUAACAAGGUAGCCGUAUCGGAAGGUGCGGCUGGAUCACCUCCUUU